GCCGGGAUGGUGAAAUUGGUAGACACAAGGGACUUAAAAUCCCUCGGUAGCAAUACUGUACGGGUUCGACUCCCGUUCCCGGUACCA
rnacentral:tRNA from 1 species